ensembl:lncRNA
CUCCCGGGCUCUAGGUCAUCAGGGGCAGGGAGCAGAAGAUUAUUCAUUGUGCCAACUUGUGGCUUGAGUGAGGUGUCCUUGCUUGUAAUUUGUAUCCUAAGUGGGGAGGCCCAAGUUGUCUGCAGCAUUUUUAAAGCACUGGGUCUGCCAUCUCUUGGUCUCUCAUUCAAGUCUCGCAGGGUUUCAUAAAGCCUUUUGGUCCACCCCUGCAAGGACUGUGAAUCUGCCUUCAGAGCAGCCUUCAGGAUCCCAUUGUAUCUUUCUAUUAGGCCUGCUCCUGUUGGAUUGUAGGGCAGGUGAAACUGCCAUUCAAUGUUAUUGUCUUCAGCCCACUUCUGCACAGUUGCACCUGUGAAAUGUGUACCUUGAUCACUCUCAAUAACCUCAGGAGUCCCGUAUGAUGCCAUCAAUCUAGUUAGAGCUUUGAUGGUAUAGGCUUGGUUUGCCUUUGCUACAGGAUAGGCUUGCAUCAGUCCACUCGCUGUAUCCACACAAGUUAGGGCAUAUCUGGCCCCCUCAGAUCGAGGAAGGGGACCUAUAUAAUCAAUCUGCCAUCGCUGUAAUGGGUUGUGUCCUCUAGCGAGAUGGGCCAUAGUUUCCGGCAGAGGUCUUGGUCUCAUUCGUGAGCAAGCGUCACAGUCCUGACAUGCCUGGACAAUAUCUGGUAACUGUAUGGGCAACCCCCAUGCUUUAGCUGCUGCCCACAUGGUUUUCUGUCCUGCAUGCCGUAAUUUCCGAUGCAGCCAGUGAGCUAUCUUCAUCAUUGCCUGGUGACUGCAAGGGUUGAUGUCCAGAGACGUGGUAUGCUCGUACGGUCCUGUGCCUAACCACGUUCCAUAUAUCAACCCACAUAUCUUUGCCCCAGAUAGGUCGGGCAUGGAUUGUCCAAUCCUGAGUGGCCCACUGUGCUAUCCAGAGCCUGAGCCCUCGGUAGACUGCCCAACUAUCUGUGCAGAUGUUUAGUGCACUGUUGCCAGGCUCUUGAGUUAUCACCAUCCACACAGCUCGUAGCUCAGCCCACUGGCUACUUUGUCCAUCCCCUUCUUCAAACCAUAUUGUUUCAGUUGAGGGAUGGUAUGCGACAGCUCGCCACCUACUUGGGUUCCCUCUGCUGGAUCCAUCUGUAUACCAGGCAUCUUCUGGGAUAGGGUAUUUUCCCUCCUGUACAGGACUCUUUUC